rnacentral:rRNA from 1 species
CUACGGGGGGCAGCAGUGGGGAAUAUUGCACAAUGGGGGAAACCCUGAUGCAGCAACGCCGCGUGGAGGAUGACGCAUUUCGGUGUGUAAACUCCUUUUAUAUCCCAAGAUAAUGACGGUAGGAUAUGAAUAAGCACCGGCUAACUCCGUGCCAGCAGCCGCGGUAAUACGGAGGGUGCAAGCGUUACUCGGAAUCACUGGGCGUAAAGGAUGCGUAGGCUGGAAGUCAAGUCAUAAGUGAAAUCCCACGGCUCAACCGUGGAACUGCUUGUGAAACUGGCUUUCUAGAAUGUGGGAGAGGUAGAUGGAAUUAGUGGUGUAGGGGUAAAAUCCGUAGAGAUCACUAGGAAUACCGAUUGCGAAGGCGAUCUACUGGAACACUAUUGACGCUGAGGCAUGAAAGCGUGGGGAGCAAACAGGAUUAGAUACCCCAGUAGUC